ACUUCCCAUUGUGCCAUAGUGGAAACAAAUCCGACUAGUGUCCGUGAGGAUGUGGGUUCGAUCCCUGGCCUCGCUCAGUGGGUUAAGGAUCUGGCGUUGCCGUGAGCUGUGGUGUAGUUUGCAGAUGCGGCUUGGAUCCUGUGUUGCUGUGGCUCUGGCGUAGGCCGGCAGCUGCAGCUCUGGUUUGACCCCUAGCCUGGGAACCUCCAUAUGCUGCGGGUGAGGUCCUAAAAAGCCAAAAAACAAAAAAUAAUAAUAAUUAUAAUAGGUGGGAGAAACCUUUGUCACGGUACAUUUCAAGUAUAUUCUCCACUCUUUCCUUACACAGAUACAUUUGUUCUGUGAGUACUUAAACUUCCAGAAGACAAACGAGGCCAAUAUGCUCUCCAUGUGUCUCAGGUCGUUGAGGCUGCUUUUGUCUUUGGCUCAGAGACAAAAGACCUGCCGUCCUCACAGUUCUGGAGGCUGGAAAUCCAAGGUCACGUGCCAGUAGACUCCGUGCCUGCUAUACACACACAUUCUUCUUCUCUUCUUCUCUUCCAUCUUGGUCGGCCUGAAGGGAUUGGAUGCAGGUCCCUGUGCGGUGCUGUAGGGUCGCAACGCCUCAGCGCUUACAUGUGGAAUCUAAACUAUGGCACAGGUUUUUCCGUCCGUGCAGGAACCAAAGCGCCUCCAGGGACACCAGACGCGUUUGGCAAACAGAACUGGCCGGGUACAGUCUCGUUCAUCUAAAUUGCUCUCUAUCUGCCCAGAAACGCCAGGAUACAUGUCGGCGUCAGGGAUGUUCACCUGGCAAACGGCAGCAGAGGCGGGAGAGGCAUCCCAAGGCACCGACGGAAGGCAGGGAUGCAGGAUGCCAGCCAGGGAGGCGGGUCUGCACGCCGUGCUCGCACCACACCCAUCGGGGACAGAUGCAGACCCCAGGACUCCUGGGGAUGAGAGGGCCCCUGCUAGAGGGAUGCGGUUGGGAAUUUGAACUCAGAGAGAUGCAUCGAAGGAGC
rnacentral:lncRNA from 1 species